UCUAAGGUUUAGUUACUGUUAAAUCCUCUUUUAUUAAUUCUUAUAGUUAAUGUGUGCUUAGAUAUAAAUUGUAGCUCAUUGUUUCUAUAAAAUGCGCUGCACCAUGGCCUGUUUUUGUUGGUAGGAAGUGCCAGAUUAUUAAAGCUUUUUAGCGAUUAAUUUUUACGGCGGUAUACAUACAUGUUUAUAGUAAGUUAGUCGUGUAGUGUCGUUUAUACAACAAGCUCCUCUAAUUUAGUGAAUUGCCGCCAAAUUCUUUGGGUUUGGGGGAUUUAGCAGUUACUACCCUCCAAUGGGUUUAACCA
rnacentral:rRNA from 1 species